GAUGAACGCUGGCGGCGUGCUUAACACAUGCAAGUCGAGCGAGAAGUUUUGAAAAGAUUCUUCGGAUGAAAUUUAAAAUGGAAAGCGGCGGACGGGUGAGUAACGCGUAGGCAACCUGCCCCAUACAAAGGGAUAGCAUUUGGAAACGAAUAUUAAUACCUUAUGAAACUUAACUAGUGCAUGCUAGGUAGGUCAAAGAUUUAUCGGUAUGGGAUGGGCCUGCGUCUGAUUAGCUAGUUGGUGAGGUAACGGCUCACCGAGGCGACGAUCAGUAGCCGACCUGAGAGGGUGAACGGCCACAUUGGAACUGAGCCACGGUCCAAACUCCUACGGGAGGCAGCAGUGGGGAAUAUUGCACAAUGGGGGAAACCCUGAUGCAGCAACGCCGCGUGAACGAUGAAGGCCUUUGGGUCGUAAAGUUCUGUUCUAGGUGAUGAAAACUGACAGUAACCUAGGAGAAAGCCCCGGCUAACUCCGUG
rnacentral:rRNA from 1 species